rnacentral:ncRNA from 1 species
AUAGGGCGGCAGCGAUGUCGCCGGAUGGCGCGGGAGAAGUCAGCAGAGGCCAUAAUAGUCCGGGCGACGGGGCGAAGGGC